ACCGACGCGAAGGGGAGGAGAAAGGAGUAAGGGCUCAGUCCACAGCCCCAGGCUCGUGGGGCUGGGGACGCGGGACAGGGCGGGGUGCAAAUAAGGACAGGAAAGGGAAACUCCGCGGGAAAGGGGUGGGAUCCACCCGACCUUCAUUUCACAAAUUCCUUCUCUGGAUUGCCACUUGGAGUGAUGUGGCACACGAAGUCGUCCUGACCCGUAGGGGCCCCUUUGAACAAAGGGCUGCGUUUACUCCUAACUUUGCUGGCAAGAGGCAGUGGAUCCCAGCUCAGGUCUGCUGUUUCCACAGUUGAACGUGUAUUGCCCCCUUUAAAGGAAUUCGUGUCUCUUUCAUUGCAGAUGUGGGUGCACUUAAAUCGGUGGGAAAUCUGUGUGUGUAUAUGUGAAACAUACUGUAUUUAUGUAUGAAAUAUAAACCUGUAUAUACAGAUAUAAAAACAAUUCUCUUUCUAUGAAAUCGAUAUAAACAAAAAUGUUCACGUCUAUAUAACCUAUGUAAAUAAGCUAUAUAUCUGAUAUAAACAAAGAUUGUAUACUGGCUUCCCUCACAGUGUGUCCAUCCACGUGUAGACACAACAAGACUUUAUUCCCCACUGAUUUCCAUAGUGUCUCCUGUACCUCCAUGAAAAAUAUAAAAUAUGAGAAAGGAAAUAUUUGAAAAUGUCGACAUACAGUGUUGAGCAGAUCUUAGUGAACCUUAACAAGCUGGGAAUUCAUUUUCUCCAUCUUUUAAAGUCAUGAACAAUUGUAAAGCAUCCCCACAAGCUCUGUUACUUUUUAAGAAUUAUGAAAUUACUCUUAUGAAAAGCAUGCCUAUGUUCCCUUUUAUUUAUUUAUUUUUAAGUGGGAGAUAGUGUGUUAAAUGUGAAAGCGCCAAAUUGUGACUUGGAGGGGAAGGGGUUAUCGAUUUUAUUGAGUAAGCAACACACAGUGGAUUUGCAUUUUACCUCUGGAAACUGGGGGUUCAAAUUGGGCACAUGGGACACCAAGGAUGUAUUUUGUGGUCCCAGCCUAGCCCCGACUGCAAAGCCACUGUGUAAUUUGGGGCGAUUGAAUGUGAGUGGCAGUCCCUGCUCUCAAGUAGGUCAGGCUUGGAACAACCAGGCACCCAGGGGCCCAGAGCAGCACGACUGGCGACAAUGAGAAUAUUACCUCUCUUGGCCUCUACUAUUUCUACCAUCUGCCUCUCCUCACACAUGGGGAUGCAGGGAUGGGGAAGGUGGUGCUGAUAGUUUUCAAUAUUCCUCUGAGCUAAUUUGCUAUUAUUAAAAAAAAAUGACUUCGUAUGAAUGACAAGAGAUAUAUAAACUUUAGUCUUAGGAUGGUAUUUAUAACAUUUGUGCAGAGAACUUGAAUUCUGGUACAUCUUAGGAUGUAGUGCUUUAUUUCUGAGAUCCUGAAGUCCAGAGGGAUGGUUUCAAUUCCAAAGGCCGAAUAGCUGGAAAAAUGACAACUGAUUUCAGGCAAAUAGAGGCUUUGACAAUUCGAAAGAAAUGAAUCCCUCUCUUAUCCUUAAUAUGUAACACUUUCUCAACUCAGAAGUGACAACCCAGACGUAUUUUUUAAAGACUCUGACCAAGAAAUGUUAAUUUAUGUUUACUCUUCCCCACCAAAUGGAAGGGGUUUGUCUAAGAAAGCCAGAGGAAGAAAAUAUUUCAUCUACCAUGAGCUGUAGUUUCAAGAGAAGACUUUGAGGAAAAGAGUUCGGUUAUGAGCAGUGGGCUCACACAUACAGCUAUAAUGGACAGCUCUGUCAUUAUACACAGAAAGCUUAGGGGUCGACAGUGGAGAACUCUGAUUUGAAGUGCAUUUUUAUUUCUCUGGGAUGCUGAUAUUGCUUCUGGCAAUAAUUCAGUGUCCUGCUCACAUUAAGGAAAAAAAAAGAAAGAAGAAUGAAAGUAAAUUUAACCCUUUUUAUCCCUGGUGAAACGUAGCCUUCUGUCUCCCUGAAGUUGAUCACUUUUCAGUAGGUCUAACAUGAGCACCAUUGCUGCUGGAGCGUCAGAUCCAAGCCCACUCAGACGUGAACCCUGCCUAAACCAUGGUGUUUUCUUCUCACCGCUGAAAUUCACAUUUAGAAAAUUCAGAGAGUACACCUGCCAAAAGAUAGAGACGGGAGGAGAUCUCUGCAGAAUGAUGGAAGAUCUCCAAACCCAGAAGGCUGGCCAGGAGUAAGAAGACUGAGCAGGGGUGCCUCUGUUGUCCCAGGCAGCAUAAGAUUUCUGGAAGCUACAGUACAAUUCUUGCCUGGAGCCAUCCUGCUGCUUCAGGGCAGGCUUUGAUUCCUGACUCAUUUGACUGAAAUCCUCUAUGCUGCCCUGUAGACUAUCCAGACACCACAUCCCAAUUAAAUCUGCAUUUAAAUUGAA